GAUGAACGCUGGCGGCGUGCCUAAUACAUGCAAGUAGAACGCUGAAGGAGGAGCUUGCUUCUCUGGAUGAGUUGCGAACGGGUGAGUAACGCGUAGGUAACCUGCCUGGUAGCGGGGGAUAACUAUUGGAAACGAUAGCUAAUACCGCAUAAGAGCAGUUGUUGCAUGACAGCUGUUUAAAAGGUGCAAUUGCACCACUACCAGAUGGACCUGCGUUGUAUUAGCUAGUUGGUGAGGUAACGGCUCACCAAGGCGACGAUACAUAGCCGACCUGAGAGGGUGAUCGGCCACACUGGGACUGAGACACGGCCCAGACUCCUACGGGAGGCAGCAGUAGGGAAUCUUCGGCAAUGGGGGCAACCCUGACCGAGCAACGCCGCGUGAGUGAAGAAGGUUUUCGGAUCGUAAAGCUCUGUUGUAAGAGAAGAACGAGUGUGAGAGUGGAAAGUUCACACUGUGACGGUAUCUUACCAGAAAGGGACGGCUAACUACGUGCCAGCAGCCGCGGUAAUACGUAGGUCCCGAGCGUUAUCCGGAUUUAUUGGGCGUAAAGCGAGCGCAGGCGGUUGGAUAAGUCUGAAGUUAAAGGCUGUGGCUUAACCAUAGUACGCUUUGGAAACUGUUUAACUUGAGUGCAAGAGGGGAGAGUGGAAUUCCAUGUGUAGCGGUGAAAUGCGUAGAUAUAUGGAGGAACACCGGUGGCGAAAGCGGCUCUCUGGCUUGUAACUGACGCUGAGGCUCGAAAGCGUGGGGAGCAAACAGG
rnacentral:rRNA from 1 species